UGGAAGGAGCAAAGGGAGGACGGAUUAGAAUAUAUAGAAUAUAGCUUGGAUGGGCAACCAGAUCUAAUAGAGAUACCGACAUCAAUUGACAACCAGCAACUGCUGCGAGUGACGCCAGAGCGGAACCACAUGAACAACCACAUCCAAAUCGCAGCCGCAGCCGCGGCAGAACCAAAUGCCACAAAGAUUAUUCAUUCGUAUACUAUACUAGAGGCAGGAUGCAUCAUCGUCUGCCCAGAGCGAAUUAUGGCCGAAUGAAUGAAUGAAGUGACAGCAGAGGCAGGCCAAUUCGGCGCUAUUAAUGCAGCAGCAACUGCCAACAAAUUUGCUAAAACUGCUAAAUUAAUUCAUAAAAUUCGCCCGCGGCCACUAUUAGGGAAACGGAUGGUACACCACACAAAAGAACUGCGUUUCCCAACGCUUUUCCUGGGCCAUUAGUCCCCGCGAAGCAGCCCCGUUGAAAAAUUCAAUGGAAUCCCCCGGGCAUUGCACAAUCCUCCCGAAUAAGCACAAUUGGCAGGAACAAUAGACACGGAACAGAUAUAGGCAUUACGCAUUCGACUUGUAUGGUAACUUCGGCAGGAAAUUCGGUAAUUUUGGCAAGUGUUUUCGCAACACACGGCAAUAACAUAAAUAGCAGUUUCUCGAAACAACAAACAAUACAAUCGGCCCGCUGAGCGAUUAAAAUCAA